GAAGUCUCUUCCCGUUCUUGAGUUCUAGCGAGAGUGCAUCGUGUGAGUGUUGUGGUUCAUGUUCACGUCGGUGUUUACUCUCCCCGGCCAUCAGUGUCUCGUCGGGAACGCCGCGGUGCCGCCGGUGAACGCCGCUGGGAACGGUCUCGCCGUGGCAGACCUUAUCUGGGGCCGGUUGCGUGCGUGAUCUGGGGUUGGUCUGCUCUGUGGUGAGUCGCAAGUGCCUGCUCCACCAUGGUUGGGAACUCUACUGCAUCGUCGUUCCGGCUUAACACCAUCGAAGUUGGAAGCCGCCGACACGCGCAGAGGAAGCGCGGGCGCGCGCGGUGCUGGAGCCUAGGGCUGUAAGCGCUGUCUGAGUGGGCCGGUUUUGCCUGGAGUUGGGCUGGCUGGAACACCAAGAACAAGAAUUGGUCCUUGUGAAGAUGGAACCUACUCCAGUGCUAUUGAUCCAGUGGUGGACUCCAUCUAACUGCCUAUCGUGAUAGAAGAUCUCAGAUCUCCUCCUGUAAUAAGGAGAAGUUUUAUUCCCUUAUCUUUUGGUUAGUUACUUCAUGUGGAGGCCUUGAAGCUUAGAAUGUUUAUGUAUAUAUCUUAUGGAAAGGCUUCACCCUUCCAACUAUUUUAAUAAGUUAUGCACUUUGGGUACUAUCAGGACUUGUAAUAAUUACAAUUCUUCUUAUGUUGUAAAACUUGAGCUUUGGAAAUGUAAAAUAUAUUUUGUAAA